GGGCCCGCACAAGCAGUGGAGCAUGUGGUUUAAUUCGAUGCAACGCGAAGAACCUUACCAGGCCUUGACAUCCUCGGAACUUUCUAGAGAUAGAUUGGUGCCUUCGGGAACCGAGUGACAGGUGCUGCAUGGCUGUCGUCAGCUCGUGUCGUGAGAUGUUGGGUUAAGUCCCGUAACGAGCGCAACCCUUGUCCUUAGUUGCCAGCACAUUAUGGUGGGAACUCUAUGGAAACUGCCCGUGAUAAGCGGGAGGAAGGUGUGGAUGACGUCAAGUCCUCAUGGCCCUUACGGGUUGGGCUACACACGUGCUACAAUGGUAGUGACAAUGGGUUAAUCCCAAAAAGCUAUCUCAGUUCGGAUUGUCGUCUGCAACUCGACGGCAUG
rnacentral:rRNA from 1 species